AAUUAAAAUUUUCAUCCAUUUGUAUUGUUAAAAACUAACGUGGUUGAUGAAAUAAUCAGAUAGUGACAUGUGACGUAUCAUAUAUACCUAAUGCUAAUAUACAGAAACUAAUUUUUAAAAGCAAAAUUGAAUAAAAAUUUUAAUU
rnacentral:pre_miRNA from 1 species